GGGGGGAUGGGGGGCAGGGUACGGUGAUAAGAGCGGGCGUGCAAAUAUGGGGUGUGCAAAUAAUGGGCGUGCAAAUAGCGGGGAGCCAGCAGCUGUCACUGGGCAGUGAGGAGCAGUGGAGGGUGCAGCCCCACCAAGGGACAUUGCCUGUCAGUCCCAGAGCAGCACCUGUCCCAAACCGUGUGCUUUUCAACCCCAAAAGAAGAUGACCUGUGAGACCACCACCGGUGUGGGUACUGGGAGCCAAUGGCCGUGCUGGGACAGUGGCACAGGGUCAGUGUCACUCUGGUACCAAUCAUCACCCUGGGCUCGGAGUAACUCAACCUGGGCACGGCAGCACACCUCAGCCUCGUCCUCACACCACAGCCGCCAUCCCCAGCGCUGUGCUGUGAGAUGCCAUUGCUGUGAUGAGUGCCCCUGGAUGUACAGUGUGGCCUGGUA